AUUGAACGCUGGCGGCAGGCUUAACACAUGCAAGUCGAGCGCGCGGCGGACGGGUGAGUAAUGUCUGGGAAACUGCCUGAUGGAGGGGGAUACCUACUGGAAACGGUAGCUACUACCGCAUACCAUCAGAUGUGCCCAGAUGGGCUUAGCUAGUAGGUGGGGUAAUGGCUCACCUACGCGACGAUCCCUAGCUGGUCUGAGAGGAUGACCAGCAACACUGGAACUGAGACACGGUCCAGACUCCUACGGGAGGCAGCAGUGGGGAAUAUUGCACAAUGGGCGCAAGCCUGAUGCAGCCAUGCCGCGUGUAUGAAGAAGGCCUUCGGGUUGUAAAGCACUUUCAGCGAGGAGGCGUUACUCGCAGAAGAAGCACCGGCGAACACCGUGCCAGCAGCCGCGGUAAUAC
rnacentral:rRNA from 1 species